AAGCAAAACAAACAAUAGCCAAGAAAAGUUCAAGGGAAAGUGUGAAAAUCCAAGGAAUUAAGUAAGGUGGUGAGCUAUUUGAUAAGGAUAAAGAGAUUACACCAAAGACCGGGACUAGGAGUAUUUCUACUCCUGAUACUGCUUGGGAUAGCCGGUAGAUAGCCGAUUGCAUCAAGG
rnacentral:sRNA from 10 species